rnacentral:lncRNA from 1 species
GGGAUUCUGAUGAAUUGGCUAGUUGGUUCCUCUUCUUGUUUUUGUUUUUGUAAAUAUGUUGUGUAUCUUGUCUCUUGAAGUCGUGUUCUGAAAAGAGAGAAAAGAAAAGAGACAAGAUGAAAAAAAAUGAAAAAAAAAUUAAAUAUAGAAAAAUGAAAAAAAAAAUUGUGAAUAAUGGAGUCAAGAAGAGGAUUAAAUUAGAGGGUUUUGGGUAUGAUUUGACUGUGUUUUCACUUGUUCCCCAUUGCUCCUCUAUUCCUUUUGGUUUGUAGCUUAUCAUCCCCAUCCUCCCUUUUCCUUGGCCCAUUACAUCCAUAAAAGACCUUUUGUUUUGAACAUGCAUAUGUGUUUGAGUGUUGAUAUUAGAGGCUUACCAAGUUUGUUUGUGCUUGUUUUAUUGAGUGCAUUGAGUUGACAUGUUUACCCUAGACACUUGAGAGAAACACUAAUAGUGUGCAUCUAUGAGGUUCUGUUGGUUUUGAUUCAUUGAUAUUUUUUCAUGCUUUGAACUGCUUGAAUGAUUUCAUGAGUAUCUGCUUACCUUGAUUCUGUG